GGACCUUUAGCUCAGUUGGUUAGAGCAGACGGCUCAUAACCGUCCGGUCGCAGGUUCGAGUCCUGCAGGGUCCA
rnacentral:tRNA from 1 species